rnacentral:rRNA from 1 species
ACUCCCAGCACGGGGAGGUAGUGACAAUAAAUAACGAUACGGGACUCAUCCGAGGCCCCGUAAUCGGAAUGAGUACACUUUAAAUCCUUUAACGAGUACCAAUUGGAGAGCAAGUCUGGUGCCAGCAGUCGCGGUAAUUCCAGCUCCAAUAGCGUAUAUUAAAGUUGUUGCAGUUAAAAAGCUCGUAGUUGGUUCUGUGUGCCACACUGUUGGUUUACCGCCUGUCGGUGUAACUGACAUGUCGUGGGACGUCCUGUCGGUGGUAUUAGUCAACCCAAACAAGUUGUCAUUAAUUUGUUCAGCUUGUUUGGUCAAUUGCUUUUACCUAUAAUUCUUAUCGCGGUGCUCUUUAUUGAGUGUCGAGAUGAGCCGACACGUUUACCUUGAACAAAUUAGAGUGCUCAAGGCAGGCUAAAUUAUGCUUGAAUAUUUGUGCAUGGAAUAAUAGAACAGGACCUUGGUUCUAUUUUGUUGGUUUUCUGAAUCCAAGGUAAUGAUCAAUAUGGACGGUCGGGGGCAUUCGUAUUGCGGCGUUAGAGGUGAAAUUCUUGGAUCGUCGCAAGACGAACUAGAGCGAAAGCAUUUGCCAAGUAUGUCUUAAUUGAUCAAGAACGAAAGUUAGAGGUUCGAAGGCGAUCAGAUACCGCCCUAGUUCUAACCAUAAACGAUGUCAGCCAGCGAUCCGUAGGGUUCUCUUAAUGACUCGACGGGCAGCUUCCGGGAAACCAAAGCUUUUGGGUUCCGGGGGAAGUAUGGUUGCAAAGCUGAAACUUAAAGGAAUUGACGGAAGGGCACCACCAGGAGUGGAGCCUGCGGCUUAAUUUGACUCAACACGGGAAAUCUCACCAGGCCCAGACAUUGGAAGGAUUGACAGAUUGAUAGCUCUUUCUUGAUUCAGUGGGUAGUGGUGCGUUGGUGGAACGAUUUGUCUGGUUAAUUCCGAUAACGAACGAGACUCUAGCCUAUUAACUAGACGUAUUUGGUAUAAUCUUCUACCAACGAAUAUAAAUCUUCUUAGAGGGACAAGCGGCUUUCAGCCGUACGAAAUUGAGCAAUAACAGGUCUGUGAUGCCCUUCGAUGUUCUGGGCCGCACGCGCGCUACACUGAAGGGGUCAGCGUGUGUCUCCCUGUCCGAAAGGACUGGGUAACCCGUUGAACCUCCUUCGUGCUAGGAAUUGGGGCUUGAAAUUGUUCCCCAUAAACGAGGAAUUCCCAGUAAGCGUGAGUCAUAAGCUCGCGUUGAUUACGUCCCUGCCCUUUGUACACACCGCCCGUCGCUACUACCGAUUGAAUGAUUUAGUGAGGUCUUCGGACUGGUGAUAAUUGAACAUCUACCUUGUGUAGUGUACAAUGUUACCGGGAAGAUGACCAAACUUGAUCAUUUAGAGGAAGUAAAAGUCGUAACAAGG